GCUCUGGUGGUGCACUUGUAGCGCACGUCCCCAGUAUGGAUGAAACGCGGGUUCGACUCCCGUCCGAGGCC